rnacentral:lncRNA from 1 species
ACCACCUAGAGCAGCUUCGUCUGGCAAAUGCACAACGAGAUGCUCCAUAACAUCAAAAAACAUAGGUGGAAAAAUAUUUUCCAAAUUACACAGCUUCACCGCAGUGUCUUCUUUUAAAAUAGCAACAUCUUCUUCCUUUAGUAUUUUUGCAGAGAUAUCCCGAAAGAAGAGUGCGAUCUCUACACAAAGCAUUUUGAGUUAGUGCAUGCAUAUAUAGCAAAACUUAUUAUUAUUUUUUUAAAAAAAUUAACCUAAAAUUGCCAUGUUGACAUUUUUUGGAAGUAACUCCUUAAACGCAAAUGGGAGAAGCCGUUGCAUGAUGACAUGACAAUCAUGACUUUUUAGGCCUGAAAGCUUCGAAUUCGUCUUGUCUAUACAUCUACUAAACUUUGAAGCAUACCCAUUUGGAAAUUUUAUAUCUUCCUUCAACCAUCGCAAGAAUUCUUUUUUUGCUUCCUUUGACAACCGAAAUAUUGGGA